AUGCAGGAAGUCUGGACCCAACACGGGAUGUGGGUUCCCAAGCAGCGGCGUAAGCACCACACCAAAUGCCAGCCCCUGCCCAUGCCACCCCCUGGGUCCUCACUAACAACCAAAGAGGCAGGUGCUGCCCUUCUCCCGUCUCACAGGGAGUGCAAGGGUGGCCCCCACCGCCCGCAAGCUGGCAGAGCCAGGGUCGAAUCCACAGAGCCUGGGCCGUGCUCAGCCCGGACAGAAUGCCCCUCCUCCGCCCUCCCAGGCUCAGUGAGCAGCGCAUCAGCCCCGCCCCCGCCGUCCCCUUCUGCCCUGUUGCCCCCUGCUCCGGCAGGGCUGCAUCUGCUCCCACCCGGACCACUGCCACGGCCUCACCACUCCAGCCGUCCCAGGCAACACCCAGGUCCUUCCUCAGGCCUGCAGUCUGGCCCCGCCCUGCACCCUGUGCCGGCUCCACCCGCCUCCCUCACACCACAGAUCUUCCUCUCUUGCCUUGGCCACCUCUCUGGCUUUUCCACCUGUUCAGAACCCUCUCCAGCUCCUUCGUCCCAGCCUCUUACCCGUGCGUCAGAGCUCGGCUGGACCGCCGUUCCUCGGGCACCUGACCCCUCCCAGCAGCAGUCCCCGCUGGGUUUCCUCCCGCCCUGCAGCCCUUCACCUGCGGUCAUGACCGUGAGUCCCUCACUCAGCACCCGACAGCCUGUUAACUACAGGAUCCCCCCACACCACUCGCUAUCUUACUUAUUCAUAGUGGUAUACUAUAGCCAUGAACUCACUUUCCCUUCCAAACACGAGGAAGGGAAUAAAAGUCUAAAAAAAAAAAAAAAAAAAAAAAAAAAAACAAAAACAAAAACAAAACUAUGGCAAGAGUUCACUUUUAUCCUGUCACUGGGAGCCGGCUUCUGGAGGAAAGCAAGGGGUGCACUUCCCUCUGAUGCCACCAGGGGGCAGGCAGUGCCUGUCUUCAAGAGUGGGUUUCUGUUUUUUAAGAUUUAUUUUUUUUUGUUUGUUUGUCUGUUUACUAGGUAG
rnacentral:lncRNA from 1 species